UACGGAGGGUGCAAGCGUUAUCCGGAUUCACUGGGUUUAAAGGGUGCGUAGGUGGGCAGGUAAGUCAGUGGUGAAAUCUCUGGGCUUAACCCGGGAACUGCCGUUGAUACUAUCUGUCUUGAAUGUAGUGGAGGUGAGCGGAAUAUGUCAUGUAGCGGUGAAAUGCUUAGAUAUGACAUAGAACAUCGAUUGCGAAGGCAGCUCGCUACACUAUGAUUGACACUGAGGCACGAAAAGCG
rnacentral:rRNA from 1 species